AUGCAAGUCGAGCGAAGCUUUUCAGUAGUUUACUACGGAAAAUGACUGAGCGGCGAACGGGUGAGUAACGCGUGAGCAAUCUACCUUAGUUACAGGGAUAGCCCGAGGAAACUCGGAUUAAUACCUGAUAUUCUUUAUAUUUCGCAUGAAAUUAAAAGGAAAGGUCAGCCGAACUAAGAUGAGCUCGCGUUCUAUCAGCUAGUUGGUGAGGUAAAAGCUCACCAAGGCUACGACGGAUAGCUGGUCUGAGAGGACGAUCAGCCACACUGGGACUGAGACACGGCCCAGACUCCUACGGGAGGCUGCAGCAGGGAAUAUUGCGCAAUGAGCGAAAGCUUGACGCAGCGACACCGCGUGUGGGAUGACGGAUCUAGGUUUGUAAACCACUUUCAGGAGGGAAGAAAAUGACGGUACCUCCACAAGAAGCCCCGGGCAACUACGUGCCAGCAGCCGCGGUAAUACGUAAGGGGCGAGCGUUGUCCGGAUUUAUUGGGCGUAAAGAGCUCGUANGCGGUUCAACAAGUCGGUCGUGAAAG
rnacentral:rRNA from 1 species